AGAGUUUGAUCCUGGCUCAGAGCGAACGCUGGCGGCAGGCUUAACACAUGCAAGUCGAACGGGCGUAGCAAUACGUCAGUGGCAGACGGGUGAGUAACGCGUGGGAACAUACCUCUUGGUUCGGAACAACACAGGGAAACUUGUGCUAAUACCGGAUAAGCCCUUACGGGGAAAGAUUUAUCGCCGAGAGAUUGGCCCGCGUCUGAUUAGCUAGUUGGUAGGGUAAUGGCCUACCAAGGGCGACGAUCAGUAGCUGGUCUGAGAGGAUGAUCAGCCACAUUGGGACUGAGACACGGCCCAAACUCCUACGGGAGGCAGCAGUGGGGAAUAUUGGACAAUGGGCGCAAGCCUGAUCCANCCAUGCCGCGUGAGUGAUGAANGCCCUAGGGUUGUAAAGCUCUUUUGUACGGGAAGAUAAUGACGGUACCGUAAGAAUAAGCCCCGGCUAACUACGUGCCNGCAGCCGCGGUAAUACGUAGGGUGCAAGCGUUAAUCGGAAUNACUGGGCGUAAAGCGUGCGCAGGCGGUUAUGUAANACAGUUGUGAAAUCCCCGGGGCUCAACCUGGGAAUUGCAUCUNUGACUGCNUAGCUAGAGUACGGUAGAGGGGGAUGGAAUUCCNCNNUGUAGCNGUNANAUGCGUNAGAUAUNCGGAGGANCCCCCAUUGGCGNANGGCAAUNCCCNUNGACCCUCUACUUGACGCNCAUGNCCG
rnacentral:rRNA from 1 species